rnacentral:tRNA from 1 species
GUCAAUAUAGUUUAUUAAAAUAUUAGAUUGUGAUACUAAAGUUUAAAGAGCCCUGCUUUAUAUUGACC